AUGCUACAAUUCUUUGGUAUUUUUGUCCAGUUUUACAGGAACGCCUUGAAUAUCAUGUGUGGCAAUACACAUAUUGAUGUAUAUGGCUUGCUUGCUGUAAGGGAUUCCUUGGAUCCUUCCCGGAACUAUAUUUUUCACCGCUCGAGAGAGAAUGCUCAAGCUAUCGACGUGAAUGGUGGCUAUCUAAGUCUGAGCUACCCUGCACGGGGCAUAUCUGCAAUGGGCUGCCUGAUUGAGAUUGAUAUAAAGAUCAAGGGCAAGGAAGUUGGCAAAGAUUUGUCAAUUAUUGAUGGAUCUGUGAAAGCCUUUGGGCAGUUUGACUCGAGGACUGCUAACCAUGUUGAUAACGUCAAUGGUAAAAUUAUAUUAAAGACACAUGUUGUUCGUAAAGGUGUUGAGGCAACUAUACACCUCGAUUUUGUGGAGGUGCUAACAGGCGGCUUCAAUGUGCGGAUGCAUGGUAAAACUGUCCGUGGUAAAGCUGUCUACUCCUUUAUCACUGAGUGUUGUGAUGAUGACAGUUUUAUAGCCUCACCUGGGAAGCAUAAUAAGAAAUUCGUAGCGGCUGUGAACAUAGGCGAUACACUAUGUGUAGACUUCAUGGAGAAAAAGCGAGAAGCGCUCUCUUUUGUAUCAUCCAAGCACGGCAACGAGCAG
rnacentral:rRNA from 1 species